rnacentral:sRNA from 1 species
CCUACCAGUCAUGGGUAGGGGCUUAUUUUAUUUGACUGUUUUGAAAGUAAAACAGUACUCUCUUUCUUUCUUGAGGAAAGUCCUCCCAUCAAGAGGUACCAGCAAUGGCAGUGAGAAGUCCACUUUGAAGUUAAAGAAUGGAGAGGACUGGGGGUUAUGAAUGGGGCGCAGCACCCAAUUUAUGGCUUCAAAUAAUAGAGCAUCAAAACCAAGACUGGGACUCCUUCCUUAUGCCAGAUAACCAAAGGAAAGAGAUCGUGAUAGAAGGGCCACCAUUCAUUGCUAUUUUCUGAACGCAGUCCACACUGCCCACCAUUCUAGCACGAUCUAAGUAAGCCAGUUGCAUGGAAAUAACUGCUGUAAGAAACAUCAUUCAUCUGAUUGACCGGCAUCAUUUAUAGUGGCACAGGAAGCACGGUUCUCACAAAGAAAAACCAGAGACAGAACAGAGGCUGUCAGCCAUCUGACAUUUGGAAAGUGCCCAUCAGCCGCUCUUCAGGACCAAAGAAGGUGAAGGUCUCACUCCUGGGGAGAAUGGUGAUUUUGUUAAUAGGUGUGGUGUUUAU